UUGAAAAAGCGAAGAAAAAUUUUGAAACAAUUUUCUAUUUCAAAUGUUUAAAUUUUUCAUGACUCAAAGUAAAUUGUGUAACUACAUAAUUACUACGUAACAUCGUUAUCUAGCAAUUAUCAGCUUUUUAAAAAUAACCUUAAUCAUUUAAUUACCCCAUGUACUCGGACAUGUUUAGUAUCGAUCUCUCCAUUUAAAAUAAAUUCUCAAGAAAAAGUAAAUCUACACUUACACCCAAGCGCUAAGUGAUUACACCACUGUUAUCUAUUCCAAUAGCUCUACAUUCAUUUGAAAACUUAUCUACCCAAGUCUCAAGUUCCAUGUUUACGCACAGGCUAAAAAACUUCCUUACAUGCAGCAAUAACAUGAUUGAGCGAUUCAAUAUUCAAAAAUUAACAAUAACGUGCAAAAAUUCCAUUGAUAAUGCAAAAGUUUCUGAGGGCAUUGGUCUAAAAACUAAAAUAAAACAAAGAUUUUUUGUUGUUGUAAUGCAGAGGUGCAGGCAUCAUCAGAACGGUCGUUGGUCGUUGGCUCGCGACCCUCCAAAUGGCAGUUAACGCCACGAGGACAGAUUUACCACGAAAUAUCCCAAGGGACUUGUCCCCGUGACUGAACGUACCCUUGGGUACGCGUACGCUCAUACAUGCGAAUCGAGAAAAUUUAAGCUACCCUUCCGAUUUAACAGCUCAGAGUACACUGUUUGGCCUCAUCGUUUAUAAACUCUCUUGUGUAGACUGCCCGCGAGUUUAAAACACGCGGUAAACGAGCGUCCAUCAUCAGCGUGUCGUCCUCGUUAUGCUUUUAAUCGUUUCAUCAACUUGUUGUUAUCACGCGCCCGGGACGCCAUUUUUACAUGACCGAAGCGGUGAUACGUUACGUAUAUAUGUUAUUAUAUAUAUGUAUAUGUAUAUGUAUAUAUAACUGAUAACGCUGCUACUGCUGUUGGGGAUUGCGAAUAAAAAUUGAACAGACAAUAGCAAAUAUUGAGGGUGGAUAUGUGCAUUGUUUGCUUCAAUCCGUUUCGAGAUUUAUGUAUUUUUAUUUUUCACGCUUUACGUAUUGUUAUUUUAUAUUUUUCAUUUUAUUCCAUUAUAUUUUUUUAUAUUAUUUUUAUAAAUUUUAUUUGUUAUCAGGAUUUUCCGAUUUCACAGCGAUACCGAUCAUCAACACGCCGUACAAUCGAAGAAUAUACAAAAGAAAAUAAAUAACAUAAAAAAAUUUUGUAUUAUUGUAUAUUUUCCAGGAAAAUAAAAUACCAACAAAAUGUUAUUUAAAUUAUAAUGAUAGAAAAAUAUAUAAUAGUGAAAUAUAAAGGAAAAAUAUAUGGUAAAAAAAAGUAAACUUUGAUUUUUAUCCGGUUAAAUUAUGUCUUUAUUAGUUGAGCCAAUGACUCUAACGGUUUUCCCCUGUGACGAUGAAAGCCGCAGGUGUCCUAACGAGUGAAAAAAAAAAAUCUGUAUGCCUGUGGGCAAGACAGAGAAAAGUCCAGAGGGAACAAAGGAAAAAAAUAAAAAGGUUGUACGAUACCAUGAAAUGUACGAGAUACUAGUCGCUCAUUAUUCACCUCAAGCUCUCACUCAGAUAUCACGAUCAGCCAGAAAGGAUCGUUUUCAUCGUUACCCUUGUUAAUUUUUGUGCUUUUCCUGGUACCGAGUACUUAAGUAGACUUGUAAAAGAUCGGGAGUGUAUUCGGAGUGAUUACUGAUUUUAUUUAAAUGCGAAUCCACUUCGAAAGUCGGAGUUUAAAAAAAAAUACUCUUUUAAAAUGAAUCAGUGAGAAGUACUCCAAUCAGUGAAGAUUCAGGGCACGAAUAGUCCCAAGUAUAUUAAUAAUUCAGUCAGUGAUGGGGAAAAAAAUUUUCGGAGUGAAC